UUUUUUCUCUGAAGAAGUUAAGCACGUGUUCCAUGGCCUGAGACCUGCGAAGAGGUCUCGCACUGUUUGUCAUUGUGAUCUGCGGGCUGCCGUGCGUGUUGCAGGGAGCACGAUGGCUGCGGACACAGCUGCCCGAGUCGGUGACUCAGGAGCGCUGUCUGCGUUGAGUGCUGCUGUGUCAGCACAGACAUGUCCAGAGUCCGGGCAGCACUCAGGCUCACAGGUUGGUGACUUUACUCGUCAGGAAUCUCCCCAGGCACAAGGUCCAGCCUUCCAAAAUGAUGCUUCAGGUUUAUUUCUUAUCAGAUUCAAGAUGCACACCCACGAGGGAAUGGACCUUCCCAGUUAUCCAUAACACAGCUUCAGUGGUGCUGGAGUCCCGUGUAAUUAACAAACCCUUGGAGACGUUUGUUUGCACGUGUGCAUCAAGAUAACCUGAAUUUUAGCCUUCACAUCCAUUUUUUUCUCCUGAAGCUGCUUCUGGUUGGAAAGUCACCAAAUUUCAUCAGCCUGGGCCUCGGUGUUUCCGCUUUCCAUCAUCUCCAUAGUCUCCAAGCGCCUAGAUCCUCGCGGCCUCGGUGUUUCCGCUUUCCAUCAUCUCCAUAGUCUCUAAGCACUUAGAUCCUCGCAGCCUCGGUGUUUCCGUUUUCCAUCAUCUCCAUAGUCUCUAAGCGCCUAGAUCCUCGCAGCCUCGGUGUUUCCGUUUUCCAUCAUCUCCAUAGUCUCUAAGCGCCUAGAUCCUCGCAGCCUCGGUGUUUCCGUUUUCCAUCAUCUCCAUAGUCUCCUAUGCCCAGAUCCGAGUACUCUGGGGACAGGAACUCCCAGUAUCAGUCUCGUUCUCUGGCCAUCUUUUCUGGCCUGUUUUGUCAGCGUUGGAUGGAAAUGUGUCCUCGUCCUCAUUCCGUCCUGCUCGUGGAUGUGAGGCAGGACCCCCUCCCGGAGCCUCUCCUGCCCACUCCAGUAAGCUGUUGUGAGAAUUUGACAGAAUCAUGCAAGUGAGAGGAUUACAAACGUUAAAGCAUUACAGAAGGUGUUGUUAUAAUGAAACGUGGAUCCUGGGCUCACGUUGGGGUGGGGCUGAGCCUCCUCCAGUCCUUCUGCUUGCGUGUGUAACCUCUGGUGAAAUACUGAUAAUCGUUGCUAAGUGGCUCAGGCUUCUUCACAUCCUGUGUUUCUCCUGUGGCUUUCACAGGGCAGGCCCGUCUGCCGUGAACUGAUGCUGCUGAGAAGGGUGAGGUGGGAAGACACGUAGCUACAAAGGACCUGGGGGCUCUGGUUAAGUGAGACGUCUUAGAUCUGAGCUCACCGCUCCAACCCAGAAAGGAACAACAGCAACGAUGGUACGAGACCCGUAGUACAGUCAGCUGGCGGCUCAGCACCGUGGUCUCAUCACCAAAGUUCCCCUUCAGCCACGUUCCGUCUCUCGCAGCCACCUUAUCAGGAACAUCAAAUUUAACUGAGGUCCUACUGGCUCAGUGACAUCUCAGCACAUAGUUCUGCUUAUGAAAUAGGCACCAAACCCUACACCAAGUAGACAACCAUGAGGAAUCCACAGAUUCUUCCUUAAGAAACUCACAUGCAGAUGAACACACACAAAGAAUGUUCACUGUGGUUAUUGCUGCAGGAGAGGUGUGUUCAAGGUGCCAUGGGAGGACAGAAGAUGGAGCAACGUGCCUGACUCCGUGCAGGAAGUCAAGGAGGAGCUGGCACGUGAGCCGGGCCUUCAGGGAUGGGCAGAUGUUCAGAGCAGGCUGUGGGGCCCACCCAGCUGGUUCAGAUCCCGACCCUGCCACUUCCCAACUACACAACGUGGCUGGUUACUUACUUUUUGAUGCCCGGUGUCCUUCCUCCACAAUGGAUGUGGUGGUACUGACUGAGCCGCCUCAGGGGUCACCGUGAGCAGAAGGGAGUCUAGGCGAGUGUGGCCCUCAGAACA
ensembl:lncRNA